AUCGCUUCUCAGCCUUUUGGCUAAGAUCAAGUGUAGUAACAUGGAGUGCAUGUAGCUUUUUGAAUUAAUUUUUGUUUUGUUCAGAUACUGUGUUUCCCUGAAAAUAAGACCUAGCCAGACAAUCAGCUCUAAUGCGUCUUUUGGAGCAAAAAUUAAUAUAAGACCUGGUCUUAUUUUACUAUGAUAUAAGAUUGGGUAUAAUAU
rnacentral:snRNA from 1 species